ACCCGAUGACUGAAACAUCUAAGUAGUCGGAGGAAAAGAAAACAAUAGUGAUUCCCCUAGUAGCGGCGAGCGAACGGGGAACAGCCCAAACCAAAGUUGUUUCGGCAAUUUUGGGGUUGUAGGACUACAAUGUGGACUCUGUAUUUUUAAUAGAACAGCAAUGGAAAUGCUACCAUAGAGGGUGAUAGUCCCGUAAAUGAAAAAAAUGCAGUACCUAGUAGUAUCCUGAGUAGGGCGGGACACGUGAAAUCCUGUCUGAACCUGCCGGGACCAUCCGGUAAGGCUAAAUACUCCUGAGAGACCGAUAGUGAACAAGUACCGUGAGGGAAAGGUGAAAAGCACCCUGAACAAGGGAGUGAAAUAGUACCUGAAACCGUUUGCUUACAAGCGGAGGGAGCCUUCGGGUGACCUCGUGCCUUUUGCAUAAUGAGCCUACGAGUUGCUCCUCAGUAGCAAGGUUAAUUCUGUUAACAGAAGCAGCCGAAGCGAAAGCAAGUCUUAACAGGGCGAACUAGUUACUGGGGGCAGACGCGAAGCUUAGUGAUCUACCCAUGGUCAGGUUGAAGCUCUGGUAACACAGAGUGGAGGACCGAACCCAUAUACGUUGAAAAGUGUUGGGAUGAACUGUGGGUAGGGGUGAAAGGCUAAUCAAACUAAGAAAUAGCUCGUACUCCCCGAAAUGCAUUUAGGUGCAGCGUCGUGGUUAGUGUUAUAGAGGUAGAGCUACUGAUAGGGCUAGGGGGCUUCACCGCCUACCAACCCCUGAUAAACUCCGAAUGCUAUAACAUAUACACGGCAGUGAGGGCAUGGGUGCUAAGGUCCAUGUCCGAGAGG
rnacentral:rRNA from 1 species